AAGCAGCGUAAAUGUAUCCUAUAAGAGUCUGCAACAGAAGAAUWCCCUCUGUUGUCUGCCGUGUUGCAUCUGUAGCAAGACAUUUAAGGAUGUCUUCUACUGUAGCUGGGCCUGGAAACAAGG